rnacentral:rRNA from 1 species
UGUGUGUUAGUGGAAGCGUCUGGAAAGGCGCGCGAUACAGGGUGACAGCCCCGUACACAAAAGCGCAUGUGCUGUGAGCUCGAUGAGUAGGGCGGGACACGUGGUAUCCUGUCUGAAUAUGGGGGGACCAUCCUCCAAGGCUAAAUACUCCUGACUGACCGAUAGUGAACCAGUACCGUGAGGGAAAGGCGAAAAGAACCCCGGCGAGGGGAGUGAAAAAGAACCUGAAACCGUGUACGUACAAGCAGUGGGAGCCCCACCACCAAAGCAUUCUCUGGUGUUGAAGGCCCUGCAAAGCAGCAUCGCGGUGGCGGAGCGUCGUUUGCGACGCCCAACACACAAAACAAGCGGUGAGUGCUUUGGGGUGGGGUGACUGCGUACCUUUUGUAUAAUGGGUCAGCGACUUAUAUUCUGUAGCAAGGUUAACCGAAUAGGGGAGCCGGAGGGAAACCGAGUCUUAAUUGGGCGUUAAGUUGCAGGGUAUAGACCCGAAACCCGGUGAUCUAGCCAUGGGCAGGUUGAAGGUUGGGUAACACUAACUGGAGGACCGAACCGACUAAUGUUGAAAAAUUAGCGGAUGACCUGUGGCUGGGGGUGAAAGGCCAAUCAAACCGGGAGAUAGCUGGUUCUCCCCGAAAGCUAUUUAGGUAGCGCCUCGUGAAUUCAUCUCCGGGGGUAGAGCACUGUUUCGGCUAGGGGGCCAUCCCGGCUUACCAACCCGAUGCAAACUGCGAAUACCGGAGAAUGUUAUCACGGGAGACACACGGCGGGUGCUAACGUCCGUCGUGAAGAGGGAAACAACCCAGACCGCCAGCUAAGGUCCCAAAGUCAUGGUUAAGUGGGAAACGAUGUGGGAAGGCCCAGACAGCCAGGAUGUUGGCUUAGAAGCAGCCAUCAUUUAAAGAAAGCGUAAUAGCUCACUGGUCGAGUCGGCCUGCGCGGAAGAUGUAACGGGGCUAAACCAU